CCCGGGCCUUGUACACACCGCCCGUCACAUCACGAAAGUGGUUUGUACUAGAAGUCGUAAUCCUAACCGCAAGGAAGGUAACGCCCAAGGUAUGAACCAUGAUUGGGGUG
rnacentral:rRNA from 1 species